GACCGAGGGUGCAAACGUUGUUCGGAAUUACUGGGCGUAAAGCGCGUGUAGGCUGCUCGGAAAGUCGGAUGUGAAAGCCCUGGGCUCAACCUAGGAAGUGCAUUCGAAACUACCGAGCUGGAGUUCUGGAGAGGAAGGCGGAAUUCUCGGUGUAGAGGUGAAAUUCGUAGAUAUCAAGCGGAACACCGGUGGCGAAGGCGGCCUUCUGGACGAUGACUGACGCUGAGACGCGAAAGCGUGGGGAGCAAACAGG
rnacentral:rRNA from 1 species